ensembl:snoRNA
AUCCAUGACUCCAUGGGAGCUGACCUGUGGCUGACUCCCUUCCUAGGCAUGGAAGAGCAGGGCCUUGCUAAUUGGCAUAACUUUUACCCUUUUGUGGGUAUGAGUCGUUGACUGUGGCAAGUAACAAAC